UGCCCAGCAACUCCUAUCCCUACCACCUCGUGGCACUGGUCGGGGUACGAGUAGCCUUAGGAAAGAUCUGGUAACAUACCCUGGUGGGAACUUUGGUCGUAUGCUGACAGGGAAGG
rnacentral:ribozyme from 1 species